UAUCAAGGGUCGAAUAUCGAGGGUUAAAAAACUGCAACCCAGCACAGUAAAAAUUUGUCCAGAUCGCUGGCUUCUGACCGGCGCGCUGCGCGUGACAUCAGCGGCGGGGCACUGCGCGUGAUGUCAGCCAGGGCCGGAACUAGGGGUAGGCAGAGUAGGCGGUUGCCUAUGUCGCAAUCAUAGGGGGGCGCACGUUUAGGGUGAAAUUUUUUAAAUAAAUCCUUAUUUAAUUGCAUUUAAUUUUGUGGCGUGUUAUCUCUUUAACUAAUCUGUAGCGCAUCGGCGAUCGUCUGACUCCAGCUGCGCUCCAGCCCCCACCUCCCUCUUACUCGCUGUGGAGUCUCCUGCGCUUCUUUUCAACUCACUAUGGUGCAUGCGCUUUAGGAAGCAACGCAUGCAGGCAUCGACGGCACACCACGUUGAGACGGCAGCCGCAGAGAGCUGAUCUGGCGCGUCGGUGUGGUACCUGGCGUGCAUUGAAGACCGAUGGGCCUGCUGGUGACUUGGGCACACUGAAAGUCAGUCCUGGUGACUGCUGCAGGGCUUGUUUUCUGCGUCCUGCUGGCACACACAGGAUUCUGUCGGUACCUACUAACUGCAAGGACAAAUUUGGAGAAGCAAAAUGGCAGUUCAACAGAAUCUUACAUCCAUUCUGGUUCUAAAGGAGCCGGCUGAACAGGACCUGGUAUUAAGCCUGAAUUAAGAAGCAGGGACUCCAGUCAAGAAGAAUGUUUGAGAUGGAAGAAGGGUACAAGAGAAACAUUAUAGAAUGUGUAAGAGCAGCAAAAGCAAGUCCUUUAUGUGUCUAGGCUGAACUGCCGCAUGCCACUCAGACACAAGCCAUGACGACCCAACGGUCACUGUCCAACCGACUUUCAGCUGGAUAGGAGAGACGUCGCAGGAGUUUAGUCUUGGAGAUACAGAGCUUUUGGAAGAUUUCAGAGUGAAUAAAGGAGGAUAUUUUUAGCAGAAGAAAGAAGAAGGAGUGAGAGAGAAGAAAGAGAGGAGGAGGAGAUUUGUCAAGAAGAAGAAAAAUGAAUAGCAAGAAAAAGAGAAGAAGAGGCAGUAGCCCAGUGGAUGAUCCAGGAGGUAAGGAGAUGAAACUAUCAGUAUAUUGCUAUAGGAACAUACUCAUAUAACCUUUUACUUUUCUGGUAAAAAAGCAGAGAUGAGCUUCUUACUGUAUAUUAUAGUAGAACCCCCCAAAGUGGGGAAUAAGUGCAUUAUACAUAAUAUAUUGGUUGGGCCAUAGUAAACUGUUGUAGAAUGAGGGGGAAACUUAAAAUCAUGGUAAAAAUCAAUGUCAAAAUGAGGUUUCACAGUAUGUUCUUGGGAUAAUUGUACCUGUAGUAUAUUGCUAUAGGAACAUACUUAUAUAACCUUUUACUUUUCUGGUAAAAAAAAAGCAGAGAUGAGCUUCUUACUGUAUAUUAUAGUAAA